AACCAACGCUAGAUGGCGCUGUUGUUCCUCGAUAAUGGCUGACUGCUUGUAAGAAGUGAAUUCGGUUUUUCCAAUGUUUCUUCAAUUUGUUAUUUUUUAAAGGAUUUUUCAUCUGGAAAUUAACGAUUGCCUUUUGUAUCACACAAGGUUUCCCUUGUUAUCAGCUAUUCAGGCUGCUGAUACAGAAAAUAGUGAGCUACCCUGUGUUUCUGUUUUCUAUGAUGCCGUUUACCACUGAAUGUGUCUCAACUGAUUUUAACCUCCGAUUUUACCAAAUGGGAUGAUUUAUUUUACUGAAAUUAUGCCCAUAUCAAAUCAUAAUCAUAAAUGCACAAGGUGGGAUGAUUUUGAAGAAAGAACAGCAAUGACCAAGAUUCCUUAAAAGUAUACACCACCAUCUGAUUUGAAGUCUUCAUUUAUUUCACACUGCCAUCCGUCAACCAUUGUAAUUCCAUUGAUCCAGUCUUCAACAGCUUCUCGACUAAGGCAACAAUCAACCAGCAGUAUUUCAAUCGUUCAGUCAUUACCACCUCUCAAAACUUUGAAAUUUUCGUUAUUGGAUUGGAUCCUGUCUCCACCGUAUGCAGUCAUAACCUUUCUCACGCAUAUACUUGAAUUUCAUCGCCUAAUGGAGAUUUCAAAUUGUUCACCAUCAUCUCUGACGAAAAAUCGCCGUCUAAUGCAAGUCAUCAAGUCAUGCCUCCUUACCUAAUUUACCACGUAACGCCCACUCCGACUGGUAGAUAACAUCAUGGAAGGUUCCUGAUCCC
rnacentral:lncRNA from 1 species